AUGGGCGGCAUGGGGUUUAAGGACCUGAGGGCUUUUAACAAAGCAUUGUUGGCCAAACAAGCUUGGCGCUUGAUAGACAAGCCGGACAGCCUCUAUGCACGACUUAUGAAGGCCAGAUACUACCCUGCGGGACAACUGCUGGACACAGCUGUCUCAGGCAACGGUUCUUUGGUCUGGAAGGGUAUUUUACAUGGUCUCGACCUGUUGAAGAGGGGUGUCAUCUGGAGGGUGGGUAAUGGAGCUAAUAUUCGCACGUGGAGAGACCCUUGGAUCCCCCGCCCUUCCAUGUUUCGCCCUAUCACACCCAAGGGUAACUGUCGUCUGAACCGGGUGGCGGAUUUCAUCGAUGACAACGGUGCUAGGCGUGUGGAUCGUCUACGGGAAUUCUUUUGGCCUAUGGAUGUGGAUCGCAUACUAAAAAUCAGAACAUCUCCCCGCAAUUGCGAUGACUUUGUCUCUUGGUUCCCGGAGAAGUAUGGCGCUUUCUCUGUAAGGAGU
rnacentral:rRNA from 1 species